CUAGCGGGCCUUUACAAAGGAAAUGGGCCCUCGGUGCACAUGAUAACACAGAGGAGUCUCUGACACAUGUUCCUGAUCCGAGGAAGCCCCACGUGAAGGAGCACGUCAGGAGCCCUUUGUAUUUGUAUUUGUAUCUCCUCUGCUACUUGACAGCUCCACCCUCAGUGGAGCUUGGGGAUCAGCAGCGUUGUCCCUAUCAGGCCCCCCCGCCCCGGGAAGGCCACAUCUGUGUCUCCACUUGUCGGCUGAAGGGCAUCUGGAUUGUUUCACUUUGAGGCUCCUACGAACCCACUAUGGACGACUUUGCGUGAACAUACGCGUUCAGAUUACUGGGUUUCCUUAACCGAGGAACAGAAUGUCCUCCUCUGUUUUGAAUGGUUUCUGUCUUCUGCUGAAGGCUGUCUAUAUACCACGUGUUUGCCUUUUCAAAACAAGGCCCCUCUAUGGAGACUUUUCUGUAUUCAAGACAAAAUUUAGAGACCUACGUGUGUUUCCCCACCCAUGAGUGUGCUAUCACUGCUUACAAAUGGGGCCCGGCCACUGAAUUGAGUUAUCAAGCGAGCAGAGUCCUGAGUCACGGAUCGCCCUUCGUCCACAGUGGGCCAGAGGCGGCACUGCGUGGGAGAUCGCAGCUGGGGGCUCGCGGGGACGCCUCCUCCUAAAGCACGA